AUAGAAGUUCUUCGGAAUGGAAAUAGAUACAAGCUAGCGGCGGAUGGGUGAGUAAACGCGUGGGUAACCCUGCCCUUUAAGUCUGGGGAUACCAUUUGGAAACAGAUGCUAAUACCGGAUAAAAGCUACUUUCGCAUGAAAGAAGUUUAAAAGGCGGCGUAAAGCUGUCGCUAAAGGGAUGGGACCUGCGAUGCAUUAGCUAGUUGGUAAGGUAACGGCUUACCAAGGCGAUGAUGCAUAGCCGAGUUGAGAGACUGAUCGGCCACAUUGGGACUGAGACACGGCCCAAAACUCCUACGGGAGGCAGCAGUAGGGAAUCUUCCACAAUGGACGAAAGUCUGAUGGAGCAACGCCGCGUGAGUGAAGAAGGUUUUCGGAUCGUAAAAGCUCUGUUGUUGGUGAAGAAGGAUAGAGGUAGUAACUGGCCUUUAUUUGACGGUAAUCAACCAGAAAGUCACGGCUAACUACGUGCCAGCAGCCGCGGUAAU
rnacentral:rRNA from 1 species